AUCAAGUAGCGCAUCAUCAAAGGAAGCACUGCCAAGUUUAAGAAUAAGCAUCGCGUUUUCAGAGAAGAUUGCAAAGAAGCAGCAGGCAGCAGAUUCCAGACAAUUCCUGGCUGGCGGUGACAAAGGCAAUCUGACGGGUGUGGCCGCGAUAUUAUCCCACAAGCCAGGUAACCGGGAACCAUCGGAGGCGUUACACUGCAUCCCUAAUAAAUUAAUUGACAGUUGAGCAGAAGAGAAAGGGAGGAGUGAGAAUUUUACGAUACAGAGAUUGAAGAUUAUUGUAGAGCUACAGAUGUAUUCAGAAUAAUUCAUCGCUAAUUCUGUUACCGGCAGGAUGGUCACCGGUUUCGGUAGCAGUCUGAUCUCCUGGAAAUGAGUGGAGUAAUGAUUGUCAUAGUUUA